GAUGAACGCUAGCUACAGGCUUAACACAUGCAAGUCGAGGGGUAACGAGAGGAAAGCUUGCUCUCCUUGUCGACGACCGGCGCACGGGUGAGUAACGCGUAUCCAACCUGCCCCCAACUAGGGAAUAACCUUGCGAAAGUAAGACUAAUACCCUAUAAUUUCCUCAGAUGCCAUCUGACGAGGAAUAAAGAUUUAUCGGUUGUGGAUGGGGAUGCGUCUGAUUAGCUUGUUGGCGGGGUAACGGCCCACCAAGGCAACGAUCAGUAGGGGUUCUGAGAGGAAGGUCCCCCACAUUGGGACUGAGACACGGUCCAAACUCCUACGGGAGGCAGCAGUGAGGAAUAUUGGUCAAUGGGCGGAAGCCUGAACCAGCCAAGUAGCGUGCAGGAUGACGGCCCUAUGGGUUGUAAACUGCUUUUAUACAGGAAUAAAGUUAGCCACGUGUGGUUAUUUGUAGGUACUGUAUGAAUAAGGACCGGCUAAUUCCGUGCCAGCAGCCGCGGUAA
rnacentral:rRNA from 1 species